rnacentral:misc_RNA from 1 species
GAUGAAGAACGUAGCGAAAUGCGAUAGUAAUGUGAAUUGCAGAAUUCAGUGAAUCAUCGAAUCUUUGAACGCACAUUGCGCCCAUUAGUAUUCUAGUGGGCAUGCCUGUUCGAGCGUCAUUAAGUCCACUUAAGCCCUGCUUAGUGUUGGGAGACUGCUCCAGCGGUGCUACCCUGUAGCUACCCUGCAGCUCCUCAAAGACAGCGGCGGAGUUGUGGUAUCCUCUGAGCUUAGUAACUUGUUCUAGCUUUCGAGUACACCACUUCCCCUGCCGUAAAACCCUUAAUUUUUAAUGGUUGACCUCGGAUCAGGUAGGAAUACCCGCUGAACUUAAGCAUAUCAAUAAGCGGAGGA